AUGCGGUGGUUUGAGCGUAGCCCCCACCCCGCCGCUCGCUGGCUCACCGCCACCGCUGGUCGGCUCACUGCGGCUGCCCGCCGGCUCGCAGACGGAGCACGCCGUGGCCGCUCGCCCCGCUGGACAUCUGCAAAAAAAAAAUCUCUGUUUUGGCAGUUUCCAACAAAAUCACUCUGUUCCCAGCAAAAAACACAAAGGUUGCAGCAAAAAAAAUAUACAAACAGGUUGAAGCAAAUCCCCUGGCCGGUUCAGCAAAAAGAAAUUUUGUUUCCAGCAAAAAACAAGAAAGAUUACAGCAAAAAAAAUCAGCGCGAGCACCACCUCACCGUGGAAGCAAUCCCAUGA
rnacentral:rRNA from 1 species